rnacentral:lncRNA from 1 species
GUGAGAAAUAAGAGAGCAAAAAAUUCUAAAUCUGGAGUCCACUCUUCCAUGUGGAACAACUUCCAGGGCACAAAAAUUAUUUUACAAGAGAAUUAAGGGUGUUCAUUGCUUUCCCAACACUUCCUCUGCUAAGGAACUGGGAGUAAACUUGACAUUGGGAGAGACAAGGGAUUACACUCUAUGCAGUGUCCAGAGUGGAAUUUCUUCAACCUUUGUCUCUUGAGGGUUUAUCUUAGAAAACCAUCAGUGGUAUCACCAUAUCUUUUAAGAGCAACUAAUAUUAAUCAGAUUAUGCCCCUUAAAGGAAGCCUACUAUAGCAACCAGUUAGGACACUCUCUGGGUAUUAUUGAGUUUUAAAACAGUUUUGCACCGUCGAGCAUUUUGCUCUUGUAUCUUCUAGACCUGAAUCCCACAUACUCACUGUAUUUGGACAAACCACAAUUGAUUCAGGAAGCAUUUUUUGGGAACUAAAAUGGGUGUGUAAAUCGACACUGGACAAAGCUGUUUGAGUUGGAUGGGUCUGAAAACACAAGCCAAGCCAAGAAUUCCCAGUGAUCCAGCCAGUCACGUCUGAUAUACUCAGGUACAAGGAGCUUCAACAACUGGCCCCACCAUGAUCCCCCAAAUCAUGCCAGGGAAACACUCAGGUCUUCUAGGGAGAGAAGGAAAAUGGGAUGAUCUGCUUUGUCCUCCUGAUUCAUGGAGCUCAAAAUGAGCUGAGCUUCUCCCAGUUUCUUCCUAGCUAGUGCUUCACUGAGAACAAGAUCCCUGUAUCAUACAUGCUUAGUUCUGCCUGAUGUCUAAACAGUAACCUUCCAAGCUUUGUUCUCCAGCCUCAAAACCCCUCUGCUUCCCUCCUGCUCACAGCAGACUCUGACUCCAGCUCCACCAAGAGUUCCCGUGACUACUUCAGACAUGAGUUCAGCAAUCUCUCGGGAUCUCCAGCUCCAUGUCUUCAAUCCUGUCUCUGAGACCUGUGUGACUUCUCCCUGUGUGAAGAGGAGCCCCAUCUGCCCUUCUGAUGUGGAACAACAUGCAAAGAGUCGUGAUUUAUACAAGGGAACAGAAAAGGAUGAAGGCACAGGAGCCUGCCUCCCAGGUCAGCACUUGCUGAGAUCUGAGUUCAGUUGUCUGUGAUCUCUCCAAAAGCAGAAAUAAACCACCUGAUUGUGGCUAUAGCUGUGACA